UACGAAGGGGGCUAGCGUUGCUCGGAAUCACUGGGCGUAAAGGGUGCGUAGGCGGUCUUCUAAGUCAGUUGUGAAAUACUUCAGCUUAACUGGAGAGGUGCAAUUGAUACUGGAAGACUUGAGUACUGAUGAGGUAGGCGGAAUGGACGGUGUAGCGGUGAAAUGCUUAGAUAUCGUCCAGAACACCGAUAGCGAAGGCAGCUUACUAAGGAGUAACUGACGCUGAGGCACGAAAGUGUGGGGAUCAAACAGG
rnacentral:rRNA from 1 species